rnacentral:rRNA from 1 species
UACGUAGGGUGCGAGCGUUAAUCGGAAUUACUGGGCGUAAAGCGUGCGCAGGCGGUUCGCCAAGUCAGGUGUGAAAUCCCCGGGCUUAACCUGGGAAUUGCGCUUGAAACUAGCGGGCUUGAGUGUGGCAGAGGGGGGUGGAAUUCCACGUGUAGCAGUGAAAUGCGUAGAGAUGUGGAGGAACACCGAUGGCGAAGGCAGCACCCUGGGUCAACACUGACGCUCAUGCACGAAAGCGUGGGGAGCAAACAGG